rnacentral:lncRNA from 1 species
AUACAUAAAAAUAAUGUCUGAUAAUCAAAUGUGAAUGACUUAACUACAAUCAACAAAGGAAGAAUCCAGAGAGAAUAAACAUAGAGAAAGGACUCAUGACAGAAAAGGACAUUCAUCACAAUAGAAGGAACAGAAUCAGAAUGCAGAUUGAAACCUACCACCGUUCACUUGACUUUCUCCAUGAAUUUUUCUCUAGUAUGAGCUAUAUGUCUUGUUUCAUAACAUGAUAAACAGGAAAUAUGUAUUCUUUGAUAAUAUAUGUACAAUUUCUAUCAUAUUGCCUGCCUUCUUGGGGAGGAAGAAGGGAUGGGAGAGAAGAAAAAAAAAUGAGACAUAGCUUUUUGGACAUAGCUAAUAAUCAAUGAUGAGCUAAAGAAUUUCAAGAAGAGGGCAACCAGGAUGGCCAAAGGUUUCAAGAUCAAGACAAGUGAGAUGUGAUGGAUGGAAAAUGGGAAGUUUAGCCCCGGGUCUCAGGGGGUCCAUGGCAACCCUCUUCAAGUACUUGAAAGACUAUUAUGUGGAAACAUGAAUAGAUUUGAUUGAUUGGCUCCAAGAAGAAAAUCAGCACAACAAUCAUCAACAUCAUACACAUAAUUUUCUCAGCCAUUCCCUAGCUGAUGGACAUCCCGUCAUUUUCCGAUUCUUUUCCACUACAAAAGGAGCUUCUAAAAAUAUGUUCAUACAAGAAGAGUCUAAAAAUGAACAUUGAUAACGGGGAAGGCAUUCGAAGGAGGACAACUACAGUGGGAAGGAACUCCUAAUCCCCUGCUAAAUACAAAUGGGUUGUGGGCAUCAGGAAUGAGUAUCACAGAGAAGACCAGACUUGAGGGAAGAGAAGAAGAUGUCAUCGUUGUGUUCAAGUAUUUGGAAAACUGUCUUUUGGAACAAGGACUAGCUUAAUUCUAUUGGGCAGAAACAGGAAAAAUGGGUGAAUGCUACAAGGAGAGGGGGAAAGAGUAUUUUUAAUAAAUCAUUAACAAUUAGAACUGUCCA